ACGAACGCUGGCGGCGCGCCUAACACAUGCAAGUCGAACGGAGCUGAGAGAAGCUUGCUUUUCUUAGCUUAGUGGCGAACGGGUGAGUAACGCGUGAGUAACCUGCCCUGGAGUGGGGGACAACAGUUGGAAACGACUGCUAAUACCGCAUAAGCCCACGAUCCGGCAUCGGAUUGAGGGAAAAGGAUUUAUUCGCUUCAGGAUGGACUCGCGUCCAAUUAGCUAGUUGGUGAGGUAACGGCCCACCAAGGCGACGAUUGGUAGCCGGACUGAGAGGUUGACCGGCCACAAUGGGGCUGAGACACGGCCCAGACUCCUACGGGAGGGAGGAGUGGGGGAUAUUGCACGAUGGGGGAAGCCCUGAUGCAGCGACGCCGGGUGGAGGAAGAAGGUUUUCGGAUUGUAAACUCCUGUCGUUAGGGACGAUAAUGACGGUACCUAACAAGAAAGCACCGGCUAACUACGUG
rnacentral:rRNA from 1 species